UACGUAGGGACCGAGCGUUUGUCCGGAAUCAUUGGGCGUAAAGAGCGUGUAGGCGGCCAACUAAGUCCUGCGUGAAAUCUCGGGGCUCAACCCCGAGCGGUCGUGGGAAACUGGUUGGCUAGAGUGCGGGAGAGGAGAGUGGAAUUCCUGGUGUAGCGGUGAAAUGCGCAGAUAUUGGGAGGAACACCAGUGGCGAAGGCGGCACUCUGGGCCAGUACUGACACUGAGGAGCGAAAGCGUGGGUAGCGAACAGG
rnacentral:rRNA from 1 species